CAGCCAAGAUUGUUCCUAACAUCACACGUUUUUUCGCUCCAGAUAAAACACGCACGUUCAUCCACGAACGGCGUGGAGGAAAAAGAUAGCCGGCCGAUCGGGGUAAUCGAUCUCGACAGAUGCAUCAGCUUGUUGCUACUGGUAAAGGAAAAAAGAAAAAAAGAGAGAGAAAAGAAAAAUACUACGUGCACCGACAAGAAGAGGAAGAGGAAAAAGAAGUGUAGCACGUUGGAUCAAUGAGAGGCGCGUUGCACGCGCUUUCACGAUAAUAAAUAUCUCGCCAAUUUAUCACGUCAACUGAUUACAUGCGGCAAAACGUUACCGAUUACCAUUUUCCGGACAGAUCGAUUUACGAUUUCAGUAAUUUUCCCGGACGAUCAUUCAUCGCUCCUAAGUUAACGGCUAAAAACGGCUUCUACGAAAAUGAUCCCAUUCAAAUGAUUCGACUGCGUUUAAAAACCGAGGCAAAUGCGUUUGUCCCGGCAAUUAACGGGGAGGAAACUUUCUUAUUAACUUUCUUCGGGAGAAGAAGUAACCACGGUGAAAUUUUUACGCAGCCGUGGCGGAGAAUAGAGAAAGAAAUUGUCGCGUGUC